ACGCAUGCGUGCAGGAUCCCUGGGCAUAGUCGCUUGUUCUCCGCCCGCGGUGGACCAGCUGCGUAACGGUUCACACACUGAUGGCGCCUGGAGGUUUGGCGAAAUACUGACAGGAUGCGACGUCAACGGGAGCGCAGGGCCAAGAUACCCUUUAUAUCAAACCGUCUAUCCUGGAGCAGAAAAAUCCUGUCUUCAUUGCUAUAGCUACAGAUUCAGAAAUGAGCAUGUAACAAAUUCAGGCCAAAGAGAGGCAAUGGAAAUCAGAGAAACACUGUUCCUGAAAGCUUCUGUCACUCAAGAAUCCAUGAAACAUUCAUGAACUUCACAUCAGAGUCCUCAGAAGGGAAGAUAGUGUUAAUGUAGAAUUGAUAACACAGAAUGCACCACUGCUGUGAUCCUUAUAUCUUGGCUGGCCAUUACCCCUCCACUUGGAAAUGAAAAAGAUAAACUAAUUGAAGCAGUGAGAAGAGAAAAAGGGAGAGGAAGGUGCUAUUGUGGAGGUGCAUACCCAACAGUUUGAUAAUGUAGAGGAAGUGAUAGCUUUGUCUCGUGGAAUCUGGGUCGACCUC
rnacentral:lncRNA from 1 species